rnacentral:rRNA from 1 species
GAUGAACGCUGGCGGCGUGCCUAAUACAUGCAAGUCGAACGAGGUGCUUGAGUAGCAAUACGAAAGUAUCCUAGUGGCGAACGGGUGAGUAACGCGUUGGUGACCUGCCCCAAAGUGUGGGAUAACAGUCCGAAAGGAUUGCUAAUACCGCAUGUGGUCUCUGGAUUUAGAAACCGGUGACUAAAGGAGUAAUCCGCUUUGGGAGGGACCUGCGUCCCAUCAGCUAGUUGGUGAGGUAACGGCUCACCAAGGCGACGACGGGUAGGGGACCUGAGAGGGUGGCCCCCCACAAUGGAACUGAAACACGGUCCAUACACCUACGGGUGGCAGCAGUAGGGAAUAUUGCUCAAUGGGCGAAAGCCUGAAGCAGCAACGCCGCGUGCGCGAUGAAGGUCUUCGGAUCGUAAAGCGCUUUUCUGAGAGAUGAGAAAGGACAGUAUCUCAGGAAUAAGUCUCGGCUAACUACGUGCCAGCCGCCGCAGUAAUAC